UACGUAGGGUGCGAGCGUUGUCCGGAAUUAUUGGGCGUAAAGGGCUCGUAGGCGGUUUGUCGCGUCGGGAGUGAAAACACCGGGCUUAACUCGGUGCUUGCUUUCGAUACGGGCAGACUAGAGGCAUGCAGGGGAGAACGGAAUUCCUGGUGUAGCGGUGAAAUGCGCAGAUAUCAGGAGGAACACCGGUGGCGAAGGCGGUUCUCUGGGCAUGUCCUGACGCUGAGGAGCGAAGGCCAGGGGAGCAAACGGG
rnacentral:rRNA from 1 species